rnacentral:rRNA from 1 species
CGUUCUACAUUAGCGGCGGAGGGUGAGUACACGUGGGUAACCUGCCUGUAAGACUGGGAUAACUCCGGGAAACCGGAGCUAAUACCGGAUAGUUCCUUGAACCGCAUGGUUCAAGGAUGAAAGACGGUUUCGGCUGUCACUUACAGAUGGACCCGCGGCGCAUUAGCUAGUUGGUGAGGUAACGGCUCACCAAGGCGACGAUGCGUAGCCGACCUGAGAGGGUGAUCGGCCACACUGGGACUGAGACACGGCCCAGACUCCUACGGGAGGCAGCAGUAGGGAAUCUUCCGCAAUGGACGAAAGUCUGACGGAGCAACGCCGCGUGAGUGAUGAAGGUUUUCGGAUCGUAAAGCUCUGUUGUUAGGGAAGAACAAGUGCAAGAGUAACUGCUUGCACCUUGACGGUACCUAACCAGAAAGCCACGGCUAACUACGUGCCAGCAGCCGCGGUAAUACGUAGGUGGCAAGCGUUGUCCGGAAUUAUUGGGCGUAAAGGGCUCGCAGGCGGUUUCUUAAGUCUGAUGUGAAAGCCCCCGGCUCAACCGGGGAGGGUCAUUG